rnacentral:rRNA from 1 species
ACGGGAGGCAGCAGUGGGGAAUAUUGGACAAUGGGGGAAACCCUGAUCCAGCGACGCCGCGUGAGUGAAGAAGUAUUUCGGUAUGCAAAGCUCUAUCAGCAAGGGAGAAAAUGACGGUACUUGACUAAGAAGCCCCGGCUAACUACAUGCCAGCAGCCGCGGUAAUACGUAGGGGGCAAGCGUUAUCCGGAUUUACUGGGUGUAAAGGGAGCGUAGACGGCAAAGCAAGUCUGAAGUGAAAUCCCGGGGCUCAACCCUGGAACUGCUUUGGAAACUGUUUAGCUAGAGUGCAGGAGAGGUAAGUGGAAUUCCUAGUGUAGCGGUGAAAUGCGUAGAUAUUAGGAGGAACACCAGUGGCGAAGGCGGCUUACUGGACUGUAACUGACGUUGAGGCUCGAAAGCGUGGGGAGCAAACAGGAUUAGAUACCCUGGUA